UUUCCGUAGGUGAACCUGCGGAAGGAUCAUUAAAGAGUAAGGGUCUUCGGGCCCGAUCUCCAACCCUUUGUUUAACUACCAUGUUGCUUUGGCGGGCCCGUCUCACGACCGCCGGAAGUUUAGCUUCGACCAAACUUCUGGCCCGUGCCCGUCAGUGGCCCCUUCAAAUUCUUGAUCAAGUAUGAUGUCUUAGCUAAAAACUUAAUAGUUAAAACUUUCAACAACGGAUCUCUUGGUUCUG
rnacentral:misc_RNA from 1 species